UUGACCUCGGAUCAGGUAGGGAUACCCGCUGAACUUAAGCAUAUCAAUAAGCGGAGGAAAAGAAACCAACAGGGAUUGCCCUAGUAACGGCGAGUGAAGCGGCAACAGCUCAAAUUUGAAAUCUGGCGUCUUUGGCGUCCGAGUUGUAAUUUGCAGAGGGCGCUUUGGCAUUGGCAGCGGUCCAAGUUCCUUGGAACAGGACGUCACAGAGGGUGAGAAUCCCGUACGUGGUCGCUAGCCUUUACCGUGUAAAGCCCCUUCGACGAGUCGAGUUGUUUGGGAAUGCAGCUCUAAAUGGGAGGUAAAUUUCUUCUAAAGCUAAAUACUGGCCAGAGACCGAUAGCGCACAAGUAGAGUGAUCGAAAGAUGAAAAGCACUUUGGAAAGAGAGUUAAAAAGCACGUGAAAUUGUUGAAAGGGAAGCGCUUGCAGCCAGACUUGCCUGUAGUUGCUCAUCCGGGUUUCUACCCGGUGCACUCUUCUAUAGGCAGGCCAGCAUCAGUUUGGGCGGUUGGAUAAAGGUCUCUGUCAUGUACCUCUCUUCGGGGAGAACUUAUAGGGGAGACGACAUGCAACCAGCCUGGACUGAGGUCCGC
rnacentral:rRNA from 1 species